UCUUUAUAUUUUGAGUUUUAAUUAAGUGGAUUUGAUUUAUGUGAAGAAAGAGUAUUUUGGAAGCUUGGGUAGUACAAAGAUUCAGUUCUUUAUGAGUAUAACGUUUAUCUGGAUUCUGCAAAUUAUCUCUAAUGCUAACACUUAUUUCUCCCGCUCCAAUGUAUCUGAUCACAUUAAUAGACCAUGUUGGCUGACUGCUACACACGAUGAUGAUGAUUGGGAUCACAAGUGGUGUUAAUGCUAAUAACCAAUUAAGUUUUAGAGGACGAUCAAGGGAUGCUUCUGAUAGAUUGAUACCCAUAAAGUGUUCGAUAAAUAUAUCAGGAAAAUAUUUCCUACUUCUUCAGAGGAUAGCACAAUACCAGCAACAUAUUGAAAUAGAAGCCAUUCUUUGUGUAUGCCCCCCGCUAAGACGAGCAGAGUAACAGGCCCUUUAGUUUAGAUUUCUAAGGUGGGGCUCUAUGCAUCUGAUAGAGGUGCUUUCUUAUUUAUGAAAUACUUUUCCAGACUCCAAACUAUAACAUAUUGAGGUUUUCUUUUAUUAUCAAAUUGUAAGAGCCUACUAUUUCAGCAAGUUUGCCUCUCAAACUAGAGUUCAUGUAACUUAUGUCCUAAUGCCUUUUGAUUUAGAUAUCUGAAAUAUCUAAAACCACGAAUUAGCAUUCGAUGCUGAUCUAUAAAUUUUUUGUAAUACUUAAUGGAUUCCUUUCUUAAAAAGUGUUUUUUUUUUUUUUUUUUUUUUUUUUGGAGGAUUAACUCCAACAUGUAUAGUGAUGAUGACAACGAGUAAUAUAUAUCUUGAUAAUGAUGAGAUUUCUACUAUAUAGAAGAGUGAACAAUGGAACGACCAAGGGGAAAAACGUAAAUUCUCUCAGUGAAAAAAAAAAUCUUCGUCACAUUUACACCAACACAGACCCAAUAUAUAUGUCUAGAAACAUCCAUUCAUCUGUUUCUCUCCUUCAUAUUUCUCAAGUGCCACCCUCUCAAAGAAUGGUCUUUCAGUUUUCUUAAGUCUCAAUGAACUUUUUCGGUUGGUUACAACGUCAAGUAUGUUCAUCUUUCAAUUUUUGCCCAAUUCUUGUUCGUUUUUUCCCCUUCAUCUUCUUUUCAAUCCUUGGCUUUUUCGGAUCUUUUCAGAUUCCUAAGAUUGUUAUCAUUCUGUCUUUCCAUAAGUUCGUCACCUGAACGUAGAAGCAUGGAACAUUGAGUGGGAAAAAAAAUACAAAAAUAGAUGACCAAAUAAAAAAGGGAAGGCUUCGUUAUGUAUAAAAUGUAGAAGCGUGACUGAGAGUAGAUAAAGAUGAAAAAACAGAUGAUAGCAGUGUUUCAAUCUGGGUUGACUCCUUAGCGCAGAACGAGAAUCUCUUCACCGGAUAAUCUGGUGAUACUUUAAUAUUGUAAUUUUACAUCCAACAUUAAUGACAAUUUAGAUAUUUUGCCUAUUAACAGUGGUUCGAAAUAUCUAGACUACUCAAUAGCAUUCCCUAUCAGUCCUCUCCCUCGCAGGGUAUGAUCUAUGUUCGCCAUAAACUCAUUUGCUGACAGUGGGCGUCAAAAAACAACUAGACCAGCAAUUUCAUGGCUUUUCUCUGGUGUAUUAGGAUCUUUCUAAGGAUUAAAAGCAACUAAACUGUCAAAUUCCAAUGGUAAAAGAGGUAGUUCUUUUCUUAAAUUCAGUUUUUUUCCUUGCUUUAUAAUUGUUCAUAUAUUUUAUUUUAGCAAUUUAUGGUGGGAAUCAUUAUGGUAACUGUAGAUCUUUGUAAGCAAGUUAUGUUGGAAUUAUAGUGGGUUAUCUCAAAACAGGGUUCGGGGAUUGUAUCGGACUUAAGAUGGAAAUUUGUAUGCUCCGGUAACUGUGACUCAAGCAAAUGAGCCCUGCUGCUUUGUGGCUUCUUAUCUUUUUGUUUCUUUUAUUUUUAUUUUAAUAUUUCGUCGGUGAUCUAAUCUUUUUUAAAAUGAAAUAUGGUAAAGACUUGAUCUUGAUACACUAAUGCUGUGAAUAGACAAGUGGUUGUGCAUUCUGUUUGAGCAAGCAAAUGCAAUUAUGUGAUUUUCUUACUAUGCUAUUUAACGAGUGUUCUUCGAGGGCUAUGGAGUACUUCAAGAUCUUUUUUCUAUGUUAAACAACCAUAAUUUGUCUUACAUCUCAGGACAUUGUGGAAAGAUAUAAACUUAUAUUUUGAGAUUAAUAUGAAGAACAUUAUAUGCGUGUUUGAAAGCCUUAAUUCAAGAAGCUGUUUGUGACAUUUCAUUCUUUUUUGUUCAGGGACCAGGAUUCUUCGAUGCCUGAUGAAACUUCUGAUUGAAGACUACAGUUUAUAUAGCAAAUGACCUUGCAAAUAACCUUCUCAAGUGGUCUAAUCAGGAUAUGGUCCAAUGAGAUAGGAGUUUAUAAAACUGCUGAUAGAUAUUCUAGGCACCAUGUUGGUUAAUUACCCUUUAAAUAACUUGUGCCUCCAGCCCUUUACAUACUUCUUGACAUGCUCUCUGAUGGUUGAGAUGGCUAAAACACUCAAUAUUGAGGCUCCUGACUUGUGUGUAUGCCAAAGUCCUGCAACCAAUGCAUAUACACUGGCCGUUAGUGAGGAAUGGAGAGAUGACACAAGAGAAACAGCUUUGAGCCAUUUUAAGAGUGUGGGACAACUUUUACUACGCUUGACUGCACGGGUAGAUGACGUGUAAGAUUAUCUUACACAAAAUCUAGUCCAUGUCGUAUGUUACGUUGUUCGAGAUUAGUUUGAAGAUGCAACUCCUUUCUGGAAAAAGUGUGCAUGAAGUAGUAAUGUCUCUUCCAAAUAAUUCACAUGAAUAUUAUUUUUUGGUAUUUACACAUGAAUCUUCUUUCUAUGGUGUAUCUUGUUACAUUUAUGUUUCAGUGUGUGACAAAAUACGUUUGUAUUGUUGUAUUGUUAUUGCCUCUAUUAUUCUAAAUAAAGUUCUAAAGUUUCAGCUUG